CCAUAAAAGGUAUUGCUUCAAUUGGACGACAGGACGGUGGUCAUGGAAGUCGAGAUCCGCCUAGGAGUGUGUAAUAUCUCACCUGCCGAAUUGACUAGCCUAUCAAGGUGAGCGAGCACAU
rnacentral:ncRNA from 1 species